CGCAUAUCAAUAAGCGGAGGAAAAGAAAUCUAACAAGGAUUCCCCUAGUAACUGCGAGUGAAGCGGGAAAAGCUCAAAUUUAAAAGCUGGCGGUCUUUGGCCGUCCGCAUUGUAAUCUAGAGAAGUGUUACCCGCGUUGGACCGUGUACAAGUCUCCUGGAAUGGAGCGUCAUAGAGGGUGACAAUCCCGUCUUUGACACGGGCUCCCAAGGCUUUGUGGUGCGCUCUCAAAGAGUCGAGUUGUUUGGGAAUGCAGCUCUAAAUGGGUGGUAAAUUCCAUCUAAAGCUAAAUAUUGGCGAGAGACCGAUAGCGAACAAGUACCGUGAGGGAAAGAUGAAAAGAACUUUGGAAAGAGAGUUAAACAGUACGUGAAAUUGCUGAAAGGGAAACGCUUGAAGUCAGUCGCGUCGUCCGGAGAUCAACCUUGCUUUUGCUGGGCGUACUCUCCGGUUGACGGGCCAGCAUCAGUUUUGGCCACUGGAAAAGGGCGGAGGAAAUGUGGCAUCUUCGGAUGUGUUAUAGUCUUCCGUCGUAUACAGUGGCUGGGACUGAGGAACUCAGCACGCCGCAAGGCCGGGAUUUAUCCACGUACGUGCUUAGGAUGCUGGCAUAAUGGCUUUAAUCGACCCGUCUUGAAACACGGACCAAGGAGUCUAACAUACCUGCGAGUGUUUGGGUGGAAAACCCGAGCGCGUAAUGAAAGUGAAAGUUGAGAUCCCUGUCGUGGGGAGCAUCGACGCCCGGACCAGACCUUUUGUGACGGAUCUGCGGUAGAGCAUGUAUGUUGGGACCCGAGAAAGAUGGUGAACUAUGCCUGAAUAGGGUGAAGCCAGAGGAAACUCUGGUGGAGGCUCGUAGCGAUUCUGACGUGCAAAUCGAUCGUCAAAUUUGGGUAUAGGGGCGAAAGACUAAUCGAACCAUCUAGUAGCUGGUUCC
rnacentral:rRNA from 1 species